UGGACGAAAGUCUGACGGAGCAACGCCGCGUGAGUGAAGAAGGUUUUCGGAUCGUAAAACUCUGUUUUCAGGGACGAAUGUGCAAUAUGUGAAUAAUGUGUUGUAAUGACGGUACCUGACAAGAAAGCCACGGCUAACUACGCGCCAGCAGCCGCGGUAAUACGUAGGUGGCAAGCGUUGUCCGGAAUUAUUGGGCGUAAAGCGCGCGCAGGUGGGAUAAUCAGUCUGAUGUUAAAGUUCGGGGCUCAACCCCGUGAAGCAUUGGAUACUGUUAUUCUUGAGUGCAGGAGAGGAAAGUGGAAUUCCUAGUGUAGCGGUGAAAUGCGUAGAUAUUAGGAGGAACACCAGUGGCGAAGGCGACUUUCUGGACUGUGUCUGACACUGAGGCGCGAAAGCCAGGGUAGUGAACGGGAUUAGAUACCCCGGUAAUCCUGGCCGUAAACGAUGGGUACUAGGUGUUGGGGGUAUCGACCCCUCCAGUGCCGGAGUUAACGCAAUAAGUACCCCGCCUGGGGAGUAC
rnacentral:rRNA from 1 species